CAGGAUAUAAACUCCACUGGUCCUCCUCAAUCUGAGCUUUGACUUCCCUGCACUCUUGAACCCAUGAAUAUACACUAGCAGCAAAACUGGAUCAGGAACAGACGGAUGCUGGCAUUGUAUGCCAGUUCUGCUUCAUGAAAGAACUGGAUUAUCACGUCCUAGAAAUCCCCAUAUCUACGGAAAGAAAGACAACAAGCGUUCCGGUCACCAUACUUCCGCCUGAGCUUUUCACGGACAUUAGUCGCCCCUGGACGUCUCAUGAGAAGAAAAGUGGGAAGUUGAACCAAAAAGAGACGAUUCACCCAUUCAGGC